ensembl:lncRNA
CACAGCGAGUCUGCGCAUGUCUGGCCGUUUAUUACACACAGCUGAUUCAACGAAUGAUCUAACUGCCAUUUCUGACCCAACAGCGCGGAACUACCCAGAACAAGCUUUAAACAAAAAACGCGUUUUACCAGUGGAGCUGAGACCAGUGAUAGUGACGUGUUCUGUUCAGUAUGGGCUUUAAUUAUACUGAUCCAACAUCACCUUGGAUACAGACCAGCUACACCAUCAAACUCAAAAUACACCAUUUACUGUUACUGGAGCUCCUCAUCCAUUCCUCCCCAGCCUCUCUGGAUUUUACAGCAGAUCUGGAGUGCACCGUACUCCCACCUCCUGAGGGCGCACCUGUUAGCAGCAUGGCUUGGCAGAGCAGUGCUGCGCAGAGAGACUGAGGUUUGAGUCCCAACUACGCCAUUUGCCGUCCGUAGCGGGGGGUCCCCGAGGAUGGAGGGGUUUCUCUCCCCUGUUGCUAUGCAACGUAGCAGUCAGUCGGACCGCGCUGUGUGGAUAUGUUUCUCAGCAAUGCUACUUCCAUCCACAGCCUGAAGUCAAACUGGCUCCACUGCUCUCUGAGUAGGAAGGACAGCAUAGCUCCUCUCUCUCGGCCAGGGCAGAGCCAUGUUCGCCAACUGUGGGCAUCUGUAGUUCAUCUGAGCGGAUCUUGGCAGUCAGCGCUCCCCUUCAAGCCCAUUAAACUGAGUGGGAGCGUGAAGAGAUGCCCUGAUUGGAUCUUUGUGUCAUGGACUAAGUUGGGUUAGCCCCCACCUGCCUGAUUGCUAGUUAUUGCGCCACUGGGAAACCUAGAAGACAUCUGGAAUCGGCGAUGACAGACAACUUCAGGGAUAAGAUUGGGUAAAAAUGAAGAGAAAAAAAAAACAAAAUUGAAUCAGCGGCAAUUUAUGGCAGGCUGCCAUCUAGAAACGACUUGUAUCCAAGGUCAUCGUGCAAAGACACAUAACCUGGUGUAAAGGAGCACAAAACAUAGACCUGUGAGCAAUGGAGAAAGUAAUACAGCCUGAUAAGUUGUCAUCCAGCCCUUCCCUUAGAUCCUAACAAAUGCCUUCAAACCCGCAGUGUCCACUGUCAGCUGGUAAAUGGAUACUGGAGCUUACAGCUAAAAUCAGACAAAUUAUUUCUCAAAUUAGAGCUGGUAAAAUGAGGUUCGCAUUGUUAAUUGUAAGUGAUCAGGUUUUGGAUUUGCCUGUUUGGACAUCACAAAUGUGUCUGCAUAUAUUGUUAUGGUCUGCUUGACUCACACAGCACUUCCAGCACUCUGAAUUUGAUGAGUAUUAUAAUCUGAUUGAGCAUCCAGAGCAACCAGGCUGAGAUUCAUCUGUACCUCCUUUAAAUGUGGUUUGGAUCUAGUUUAAAACAAAUUGUUUCUGGCUGUCCAGAUAUCAAAUAUCUGGACAAUAUGCCAAAAAUUAGAUUUGCUCUGGCAGACUGAACAAAGCCUAUUACUUUCAUGAAUAUGAGGCCAUUUUACAGGAGCUACACAGGUAAUAUAAUUGUUUUAUUCAUUAGCAAUGCAAUAAAAGAUCUUUUUUUUGAUAGAAUUUUUUGUCC